AGUGGUUUGUCUCUAAAAACUAAAAUCUUCUAGAUCAUUUUAAUCGUAUUUCUUCUGUCUUCUGCGUAUGAAGAGCACAAGAACGGGCAACCAUAAAUUACAAGAUCUGUCUUCUCUACAUGUGAUAGUGUUCUAGCAGGUUGAAGAUCGAGGAUUCCAAAAGGUCUCUGUCAAAAUUGAGGGGAAAUUAGUGCGAUUUGGUCCGCUGGUGUUUGAGAGAGUGAGUCUAGAAGGAAUUACCUCACAAGAGACUAAAAUAAGAAGAAAAUCAAUGCUAGAAAACAAUAUCCAGUGCUGGUGUUUGUGGGUAUUGUUUAAUUUAGCUUGAUUUUGUGGUUGAAUUGUGGAUGUUGGUGAGUAAGGGCUAGCAAAGAUUUUAUAGCAUUCAGUUCUUUAAGUUCUCCUUAAAAAUUCCUAUUCUUUUAUUGAGUUCAUCGAAAGUUAGUUUCUUUAGCUUUGUUAUUUGCAAUUUUUCUACAAUGGGUUUUGUGGCUAUUGUUUAAUUUUGAGUAAUUUUGUGGUUCCCAGGUUUAAUAUUUGGUUUUGGUGAGUAAUCGUCGCUUCGGAGGUAGGAUUUUGCUUAGAUUAUACUCAGUUCUUGAAGUUCACCUGAAAAGUUCCAAAUUUUUGUUGAAUAUAUCUCAUACAACUUGAUUAUUGUGUAUAUUCUUUCUAUUCAUACCAUUGGUGUACACUAACGUAUUAUUGUAAUAUGCUAGCAUCAACUCUUGAUUCUUCAUGAUGAAGAGGUACUUUUUAUUCAA